UACGGGGGGGGCAAGCGUUGUUCGGAAUUACUGGGCGUAAAGGGUUUGUAGGUGGCUCGCUAAGUCACACGUGAAAUCCCUCAGCUUAACUGGGGAACUGCGUGUGAGACUGGCAAGCUCGAGUGCAGGAGAGGAAUGCGGAAUUCCAGGUGUAGCGGUGAAAUGCGUAGAUAUCUGGAGGAACACCGGUGGCGAAGGCGGAUCUCUGGGCCAUUACUGACGCUGAGGAGCGAAAGCGUGGGGAGCGAACAGG
rnacentral:rRNA from 1 species